CGUUGUACACACCGCCCGUCACACCAUGGGAGCGGGUUCUGCCAGAAGUAGUUAGCCUAACCGCAAGGAGGGCGAUUACCACGGCAGGGUUCGUGACUGGGGUGUA
rnacentral:rRNA from 1 species